rnacentral:rRNA from 1 species
CAAUAGCGUAUAUUAAAGUUGUUGCGGUUAAAAAGCUCGUAGUUGGAUUUCUGCCGAGGACGACCGGUCCGCCCUCUGGGUGAGUAUCUGGCUCGGCCUGGGCAUCUUCUUGGAGAACGUAGCUGCACUUGACUGUGUGGUGCGGUAUCCAAGACUUUUACUUUGAGGAAAUUAGAGUGUUUCAAGCAGGCACACGCCUUGAAUACAUUAGCAUGGAAUAAUAAGAUAGGACCUCGGUUCUAUUUUGUUUGGUUUCUAGGACCGAAGUAAUGAUUAAUAGGGACAGUUGGGGGCAUUUUUUAUUCCAUUGUCAGAGGUGAAAUUCUUGGAUUAAACGGAAGAAAAACUAACUGCGAAAGACAUCU